CAAUUAUUAAAUUGAUGCUUUUGUUUUUGUUUUUGCAUAUAUAAUUGCCACUUUGCCUCAACACUUACUAUCAUCAUUCAUCAUAAAACAAAUUAACAAUCACAUAUUCAGAACCAAGAAGGCAUGGCCAACAAGAUCGCUCUUGGAACCACCAGAGAGGCCACCCAGCCAGAUUGCAUUCAGGCCCUCGUGGUUGAGUUCAUAACCACCUUCCUCUUUGUCUUCGUCGGCGUUGGUUCCGCCAUGGCCGCUGGCAAGCUGAGUGGAGAUGCACUGGUGGGCUUGUUUGCCGUGGCCGUGGCACAUGCACUUGUGGUGGCUGUCAUGAUUUCAGCCGGUCAUAUCUCCGGCGGCCACCUCAACCCUGCCGUGACCCUUGGGCUGCUGGUCGGCGGGCACAUCACGGUGGUCCGAUCGGUCCUUUAUUGGAUAGAUCAGUUUACUUAUUUUUUAUAAUAUAUUAUAUAAUUAGAUUCACAUAUAAAACCAUUUUAUACUCCAGGCAUAUCAAAAGUAAAUUCUAUAGAUUUUCUCUCAUUCAUUGUUCACUGAAUUUUGCAUGUGCAGGCAACUCCGGUUCACACUCUAGCAAGUGGAGUUGGGUACACUCAAGGGGUGAUUUGGGAAAUAGUGUUGACUUUCUCGUUGUUGUUUGCUGUCUAUGCAACUAUGGUGGACCCAAAGAAAGGAGCUCUCGCUGGACAUGGGCCCACACUUGUUGGGUUCGUUGUUGGGGCCAACAUUCUCGCUGGUGGGGCCUUCUCUGCGGCCUCAAUGAACCCAGCAAGAUCUUUUGGGCCUGCAUUGGUCGCUGGUAACUGGACUGAUCACUGGGUUUAUUGGGUUGGGCCUCUCAUUGGUGGAGGCCUUGCAGGUUUCAUCUAUGAGCAUUUCUUCAUUGACCGUACCCAUGUUCUGAUCCCUCGUGAUGAAGAAAACUAAUAUGAAAAUUGUAUUUUGGAUUUCAACUUGCACUUUCCUUUUACUUGCUUCUAUAUCUAUAUAUGGUGGUGUAUUUUAUUUCUUGAUCAUCUAGUCUUUCUUUUCUUUAUUAGUGUAAAUUGUGUAUUAGGUGCUGAGAAUGUCUCCUUUAUGUAUAAUUAAUUAAUUAUUACUUAGUGAUCUUCUCCUAAUAAAACUUGAGUAGUUGAGUUUAA